GGUGAAGAGAUAGGUGAAGAUAUAGAUGAAGAGAUAGGUGAAGAGAUAGGUUAGGAGAGAGAGGUGGAGAGAUAGAUUAGGAGAAAUAGGUGAAGAGAUAGGUGAAGAUAUAGGUGGAGAGAUAGGUGGAGAUAUAGGUGGAGAGAUAGG